rnacentral:rRNA from 1 species
AAUCAACGCUGGCGGCGUGCCUAACACAUGCAAGUCGAACGCGAAAGGGGCUUCGGCCCUGAGUAGAGUGGCGUCCGGGUGAGUAACGCGUGGGUAAUCUACCUUCGGGUGGGGAAUAACCAGUCGAAAGACUGGCUAAUACCGCAUAAUGCAGCGGAACGACAUCGUGACAGUUGUUAAAGCAGCAAUGCGCCUGAAGAGGAGCCUGCGUCUGAUUAGCUAGUUGGUGAGGUAACGGCUCACCAAGGCUGCGAUCAGUAGCUGGUCUGAGAGGAAGGCCAGCCACAAUGGCACUGAAACACGGGCCAUACUCCUACGGGAGGCAGCAGUGGGGAAUUUUGCGCAAUGGGCGAAAGCCUGACGCAGCAACGCCGCGUGAGGGAUGAAAUCCUUCGGGAUGUAAACCUCGCAAAUAUGGGAAGAACUCAAUGACGGUACCAUAUGUAAGCCACGGCUAACUCUGUGCCAGCCGCCGCGGUAAAAC